rnacentral:rRNA from 1 species
GAUGAACGCUGGCGGCGUGCUUAACACAUGCAAGUCGAACGAUAUCCAUUAGCAAUAGUGGUGAAAGUGGCGCACGGGUGAGUAACACGUAGAUAACCUGCCCUGAAGCGGGGGAUAACGAUUGGAAACGGUCGCUAAUACCGCAUGAGCCUAUCGAAGCGGGAGUGAGAUAGGGAAAAUCAAGGUGUUUCAGGAGGGGUCUGCGUCCGAUUAGCUAGUUGGUGAGGUAAAGGCUCACCAAGGCGACGAUCGGUAGCUGGUCUGAGAGGACGAUCAGCCACACGGGAACUGAGACACGGUCCCGACUCCUACGGGGGGCAGCAGUGAGGAAUAUUGGGCAAUGGGCGGAAGCCUGACCCAGCAACGCCGCGUGGAGGAUGAAGGCCUUCGGGUCGUAAACUCCUUUUUUGGGGGAAGAGGAAGGACGGUACCCUGAGAAUAAGUCACGGCUAACUACGUG